GGAGUAUUAGUCAUAAAUGUUAAAUAUUUUACAUUUUACUGUCAAGUGAAAAUUAAUUGUGUUUUGAUUGUGUGCUUCCCUAUUCCCUUUUGUCCCCUAUAUCAGGUGAUGCUUUUCCUUGGACGAUCAGCUUACAUCAUUUCAGCAUAUAUACCCUUCUUGGAAAACAAGUGACACUUUGCCUAGUGGAACCUAUGGGUUGCACCUCCACUCUAGCUGUCACGUCUCAAAAACUACUUGCUACGGGACCUGAUACACGACAUUCAUUUGUUGUCUGUCUCCAUGUUGACCUAGAGUCACUAGAGAUAAAAUGCUCUAAUCCCCAGGUCCAGCUUUUCUAUGAACUAACUGAUACCAUGAAUAAGGUCUGGAAUAAGAUUCAGAAGAGAGGCAAUCUCAACCUAUCUACAACCUCUCCAGAGACCAUGGCAGGGCCUGUUCCUACUUCUCCAGUUAGAAGCAGUAUAGGCACAGCUCCUCCAGAUACCAGCACAUGCAGCCCAUCUGCUGACAUUGGGACUACUACUGAGGGAGAUUCUAUACAAGCAGGUGAGGACUCACCAUUCUCAGAUUCUGUCACCUUGGAACAAACUACAAGUAAUAUUGGCGGAACCAGUGGACGUGUUAGUUUAUGGAUGCAGUGGGUGCUUCCCAAAGUUACUGUAAAGCUCUUUGCUCCAGAUCCUGAAAAUAAAGGCACAGAGGUUUGUAUGGUCUGUGAACUAGAAGAUCUCAGUGCUUCUAUAGAUGUCCAGGAUGUAUAUACCAAAGUGAAAUGUAAAAUAGAGAGUUUCAAUAUUGAUCACUAUAGAAGCAGGCCAGGGGAAGGUUGGCAGUCAGGACAUUUUGAAGGAGUAUUUCUACAAUGCAAAGAAAAAUCUGUGACAACUACAAAACUUCUAGAUGGCACUCAUCAGCAGCAUGGAUUCCUCUCUCUGACAUACACAAAAGCUGUAACAAAAAAUGUCCGCCACAAGUUAACAUCAAGAAAUGAGCGAAGAAGUUUUCAUAAAUUAUCUGAAGGCUUAAUGGAUGGUUCUCCUCAUUUUCUUCAUGAAAUUCUUCUUUCAGCACAAGCUUUUGAUAUUGUUCUUUAUUUUCCUUUACUUAAUGCCAUUGCAAGUAUAUUUCAAGCAAAACUACCAAAGACCCAAAAAGAGAAAACAAAAUCUCCUGGUCAGCCCAUGAGGACCCAUACGCUGACAUCCCGCAAUUUACCUUUGAUUUAUAUCAACACAAGUGUAAUCAGAAUUUUUAUUCCAAAAACAGAAGAAAUGCAAGUUUUCUGGGGUUUUUUGUUUCUUUUAAAAAAUAAGAGCAGUUGGUUGUGCUUUGCGGUUUGGUAUAUUUUAUAGAGAAG
rnacentral:lncRNA from 1 species